rnacentral:rRNA from 1 species
ACGCUCGACACCUACGGCAGGCAGCAGUGGGGAAUAUUGCACAAUGGGGGAAACCCUGAUGCAGCGACGCCGCGUGAGUGAAGAAGUAUUUCGGUAUGUAAAGCUCUAUCAGCAGGGAAGAAAAUGACGGUACCUGAGUAAGAAGCCCCGGCUAACUACGUGCAGCAGCCGCGGUAAUCUGAGCGGGCUGGCAAGGC